GGGCCCGUGGCCUAGUUUGGAUAGGGCGCAGCCAAAUAUUUAGGAGAGCGGCGCAAGCCUUCGGAAGCAUGCUGCUGAGGAAAGCCUGAGGUCGGGGGUUCAACUCCCCCCGGGCCCG
rnacentral:tRNA from 1 species